CAAGACAGUGGCAUAAGAUAUCUGCUCCGAGCCGAUCCUCUCAUGCCCUCACCAGGGGUGCAUAUGAUCCCACUAAUAGAGAACAAAGGUGAUGAAAACUCUACUGAUAAUGCUUUUGUAGAUUUCACGAAUCCGGAAACGAUGAUGGCAUGGACAAGCAACCUGCGUUCUCUUUACGGGACCUUUGGAUUCGACGGGCUGCUACUGGACAUAAACGAGCCAACUUACCCUCCAGAACUAAGCCGGUU